rnacentral:rRNA from 1 species
GACGAACCGUGCGAACGUUGUUCGGAAUCACUGGGCUUAAAGGGCGCGUAGGCGGGCGGUCAAGUCAGAGGUGAAAUCCCACGGCUCAACCGUGGAAGUGCCCCUGAUACUGAUCGCCUCGAGGAAGGUAGGGGCGUGCGGAACUUCCGGUGGAGCGGUGAAAUGCGUAGAUAUCGGAAGGAACACCGAUGGCGAAAGCAGCGCGCUGGACCUUUACUGACGCUGAGGCGCGAAAGCCAGGGGAGCAAACGGG